CCCUUCCCAAUGCAGCAAAAAUAAUUCCACCAAUUACAUCAUAAUUGACAUCAAACUGCACCAUUUUCCUUAUGUAAAUCAGUGCCCCAAGUCCACAGGAUUCUGGAACGUUGUACAGAACCUCUGGAGGUCACCUCAUCCAGCCCCACUCAAAACAGAGCCAACCUCACAUGUAUUACUCACAUGCAACCUCAAGUGCAUUACUUAGAAACUAAGGUAUUAUUUAAGGUGACAAAACUGAGCCUGAAGCAAGAGAACAACUAAAGACCAGGCUUUGAGCAGAUUUGCUUUAUCAGUUAACUGGUCUAGUCCAACAAAACAGGUUCUGAGCUCUUGGUGCUUUGGCAUCUGUUUUUUUAAAGCAGCUUCGGUCCACUUUUGGUUUCCAAAACAUCCAAGCUUGUGCCUACACCUUCUCUCAUUUACACCAAGAAAACUGUUUCCAGUGAUUCAGCAGCAUGUGCCUAAUGAUGGAAUGAGGACUCUGAGUGGAUGAAUUAUACAUGAGAUAAGAUAAUUUAAAACACAAUUUAAGUGUGACUGAAGAGAAAAUAUCAGCACGUUGACCCUGACACUUGGAUCCAGAGUGUGGCAGAGCUCAAAUAAUUCUACAUUUCAUUUUGGUGCUGCUCACAGCCUGAAAAGGGUUUAGUUCCUCUCAGAA
rnacentral:lncRNA from 1 species